GACGAACGCUGGCGGCGUGCUUAACACAUGCAAGUCGAACGAUGAAGCCUAGCUUGCUAGGUGGAUUAGUGGCGAACGGGUGAGUAAUACGUGAGUAACCUACCUUUAACUCUGGGAUAAGCCUGGGAAACUGGGUCUAAUACCGGAUACGACCAAUCUCCGCAUGGGAUGUUGGUGGAAAGCGUUAUGUAGUGGUUAUAGAUGGGCUCACGGCCUAUCAGCUUGUUGGUGAGGUAACGGCUCACCAAGGCGACGACGGGUAGCCGGCCUGAGAGGGUGACCGGCCACACUGGGACUGAGACACGGCCCAGACUCCUACGGGAGGCAGCAGUGGGGAAUAUUGCACAAUGGGCGCAAGCCUGAUGCAGCGACGCCGCGUGAGGGAUGACGGCCUUCGGGUUGUAAACCUCUGUUAGCAGGGAAGAAGAGAGAUUGACGGUACCUGCAGAGAAAGCGCCGGCUAACUACGUGCCAGCAGCCGCGGUAAUACGUAGGGCGCGAGCGUUGUCCGGAAUUAUUGGGCGUAAAGAGCUUGUAGGGCGGUUUGUCGCGUCUGCUGUGAAAGGCCGGAGCUUAACUCCGUGUAUUGCAGUGGGUACGGGCAGACUAGAGUGCAGUAGGGGAGACUGGAAUUCCUGGUGUAGCGGUGGAAUGCGCAGAUAUCAGGAGGAACACCGAUGGCGAAGGCAGGUCUCUGGGCUGUAACUGACGCUGAGAAGCGAAAGCAUGGGGAGCGAACAGGAUUAGAUACCCUGGUAGUCCAUGCCGUAAACGUUGGGCACUAGGUGUGGGGGACAUUCCACGUUUUCCGCGCCGUAGCUAACGCAUUAAGUGCCCCGCCUGGGGAGUACGGCCGCAAGGCUAAAACUCAAAGAAAUUGACGGGGGCCCGCACAAGCGGCGGAGCAUGCGGAUUAAUUCGAUGCAACGCGAAGAACCUUACCAAGGCUUGACAUAUACUGGACCGCAUCAGAGAUGGUGUUUCCCUUCGGGGCUGGUAUACAGGUGGUGCAUGGUUGUCGUCAGCUCGUGUCGUGAGAUGUUGGGUUAAGUCCCGCAACGAGCGCAACCCUCGUUCUAUGUUGCCAGCACGUUAUGGUGGGGACUCAUAGGAGACUGCCGGGGUCAACUCGGAGGAAGGUGGGGAUGACGUCAAAUCAUCAUGCCCCUUACGUCUUGGGCUUCACGCAUGCUACAAUGGCCGGUACAGAGGGUUGCGAUACUGUGAGGUGGAGCUAAUCCCUAAAAGCCGGUCUCAGUUCGGAUUGGGGUCUGCAACUCGACCCCAUGAAGUCGGAGUCGCUAGUAAUCGCAGAUCAGCAACGCUGCGGUGAAUACGUUCCCGGGCCU
rnacentral:rRNA from 1 species